UGCAAGUCGAACGGGAUCCAAGGGUAAGCUUGCUUAUCUUUGGUGAGAGUGGCGCACGGGUGCGUAACGCGUGAGCAACCUACCCAUGUCUGGGGGAUAGCCCCUCGAAAGAGGGAUUAAUACCGCAUAACAUUAUUUGUUCUCAUGGACGGAUAAUCAAACUAUUUGGGACAUGGAUGGGCUCGCGUGACAUUAGCUAGUUGGUAAGGUAACGGCUUACCAAGGCAACGAUGUCUAGGGGCUCUGAGAGGAGAAUCCCCCACACUGGUACUGAGACACGGACCAGACUCCUACGGGAGGCAGCAGUAAGGAAUAUUGGUCAAUGGAGGCAACUCUGAACCAGCCAUGCCGCGUGCAGGAAGACGGCCCUAUGGGUUGUAAACUGCUUUUAUCGGGGAAUAAACCUACUCACGUGUGAGUAGCUGAAUGUACUCGAGGAAUAAGGAUCGGCUAACUCCGUGCCAGCAGCCGCGGUAAUACGGAGGAUCCAAGCGUUAUCCGGAUUUAUUGGGUUUAAAGGGUGCGUAGGCGGCGUGCUAAGUCAGGGGUGAAAGACGGUGGCUCAACCAUCGCAGUGCCUUUGAUACUGGUGCGCUUGAAUAUACAUGAGGUAGGCGGAAUGAGACAAGUAGCGGUGAAAUGCAUAGAUAUGUCUCAGAACACCGAUUGCGAAGGCAGCUUACUAAGGUAUUAUUGACGCUGAUGCACGAAAGCGUGGGGAUCAAACAGGAUUAGAUACCCUGGUAGUCCACGCCCUAAACGAUGAUAACUCGAUGUCGGCGAUAUACAGUCGGUGUCUUAGCGAAAGCGUUAAGUUAUCCACCUGGGGAGUACGGUCGCAAGAUUGAAACUCAAAGGAAUUGACGGGGGCCCGCACAAGCGGAGGAGCAUGUGGUUUAAUUCGAUGAUACGCGAGGAACCUUACCCGGGCUUGAAAGUUAGUGAAGAUACCAGAGACGGUAUCGUCCUUCGGGACACGAAACUAGGUGCUGCAUGGCUGUCGUCAGCUCGUGCCGUGAGGUGUUGGGUUAAGUCCCGCAACGAGCGCAACCCCUAUGUUUAGUUGCCAGCAUGUAAUGAUGGGGACUCUAAACAGACUGCCCGCGCAAGCGGAGAGGAAGGUGGGGACGACGUCAAGUCAUCAUGGCCCUUACGUCCGGGGCUACACACGUGCUACAAUGGAUGGUACAGCGGGCAGCUACACAGCAAUGUGAUGCUAAUCUCGAAAAGCCAUUCACAGUUCGGAUUGAGGUCUGCAACUCGACCUCAUGAAGUUGGAUUCGCUAGUAAUCGCGUAUCAGCAAUGACGCGGUGAAUACGUUCCCGGGCCUUGUACACACCGCCCGUCAAGCCAUGAAAGUUGGGGGUACCUAAAGCAUGUAACCGCGAGGAG
rnacentral:rRNA from 1 species